CUUGGACAAAAGGUCCAAACGAUUAGCCAAACAAGGGAAGUUCGCAACGUAAGCCCCUCAGCCCUCAUUUUUGAUCGAGUUUGCGAGUGUACAAUUAUGUUCACCUCGGAGCCUGAAACACCCAUAAUUCAAUUUGCGAUGACCGCUAAGAAAAAUCUGCCGAAACUUAAAACCUCAACGUCAAUAUGGAUAAAUCAACAUACGAGUCCGCGAGGAUUAUUCAUAUGGCCCAUAAUGAUGACAACACAUAACAACCAUCCAGGACCUCUACACCAGGUGGUGCCAGAAGAAGGCCCUAAAAAUUGUCAAAGACCCCAGCCACCCCAGUCAUAGACUGUUCUCUCUACUACCGCAUGGCAAGUGGUACUGGAGCGCCAAGUCUAGGACAAAAAGGCUUCUCAACAGUGUUUACCCCUAAGCCAUAAGACUCCUGAACAGGAUUACAAAAGGGCCCCUAACGGGCGUCUCCAUGAGCCAGAACCAGCAGACAGCAGCAGCAGCAGCAGGGAGGGAGACACGGGCUGUUAAUGAACAAAGAGGCUCAGGGAAUUAGCUGCCAACUGCUGUCAGGGUCAGUCUCCUCCUUACCCUGCAGCCAGAUCAGGCCAUACGGCGACACCUCAGGACAACUGACAACCUCUGAUCCUUGACAACCUGACGUGCAGUGGUACAUUAAUGCUGCUGAUGCUGUUACUAAGGUAUACUCUUAUGAUAUUGACUUGAGGAGUCAAAGUAUUGCAAUGAUGCCAUAAAGAUUUAGAGGACGUUGUUAAGUUACCCUUUACAUUUUUGACAGGUUUUGGCCUUUGGAUAUUUUGAGAAUAAAUGAAUUUGAUAAAUGAACAGGCACCUGUGAAUUUAUAUCUAGAUAUUGAGUUAAAAAGUAUCAAUUAAAUCUAUCCCGUCUAGGGUCAGUAAGUGAGUAGGUCAACAGAGCAUGAUUGAGAUGGUGGCCUAGUUUCUGCCACAGGCUUGAGAGACCUGCAGGGCCGUGCAUCCCUGAGAAUAGACAGGAGCUGUGUCUGUUUGCUUGUUGUGUGUGCUGGGAGCGAGGUGAGAGAGAGGUGAGAGAGAGGUGAGAGAGAGGCGAGAUCCCGCCAGCCUGAUGCAUCACCUCACACACAGGAACAGGGCCUCACAGUAUAUGGACCUGAUUCUGCCUGGGAAAGUUACUAUACAUGAUAGAAACUUGUCACUAUUUCCCUGUUUCUCUCUCAAACCGAGAACAUCCUUCUGUAAUGAAAUCAAACAGCAUCCUGGAGGCUUAGCUUCUAGUUACAGUACAGAACACGUGACCACAUCCUGCUACAGAUCAUUUGUUAAGGUUUACUAGUCAACGAUACCAGAGAUAGUGUAAAGACUAGUGAAUGAAUGUGAUCAUAUGCCCCUAUCCUCAUUCCUCUCAUACAUGAGGAGGGAAAAGCUGCAGGCCCCAUUAUGGGCCAUCGGAUGGGGCCACAGUGUCUUCUGAUCCCUCCUGUCUCAGCCUCCAGUAUUUAUGCUGCAGUAGUUUAUGUGUCGGGGGGGCUAGGGUCAGUCUGUUACAUCUGGAGUAUUUCUCUUGUCUUAUCCGG